AUUGAACGCUGGCGGCAUGCCUUACACAUGCAAGUCGAACGGCAGCACGGGAGCAAUCCUGGUGGCGAGUGGCGAACGGGUGAGUAAUAUAUCGGAACGUGCCCAGUCGUGGGGAUAACGUAGCGAAAGCUACGCUAAUACCGCAUACGAUCUAUGGAUGAAAGCGGGGGAUCGCAAGACCUCGCGCGAUUGGAGCGGCCGAUAUCAGAUUAGGUAGUUGGUGAGGUAAGGCUCACCAAGCCGACGAUCUGUAGCUGGUCUGAGAGGGACGACCAGCCACACUGGGACUGAGACACGGCCCAGACUCCUACGGGAGGCAGCAGUGGGAAUUUUGGACAAUGGGCGCAAGCCUGAUCCAGCAAUGCCGCGUGCAGGAUGAAGGCC
rnacentral:rRNA from 1 species